rnacentral:rRNA from 1 species
CAAUAGCGUAUAUUUAAGUUGCUGCAGUUAAAAAGCUCGUAGUUGGAUUUCGGGUGGGAAUGGCCGGUCCGCCGUUUCGGUGUGCACUUGCUACGCCCACCUUGCUGCCGGGGACGUGCUCUUGAGUUCACGCUCGGGACACGGAGUCGGCGAGGUUACUUUGAGUAAAUUAGAGUGUUCAAAGCAGGCCUACGCUCUGAAUACAUUAGCAUGGAAUAACACGGUAGGACUCUGGCCUAUCUUGUUGGUCUGUAGGACCGGAGUAAUGAUUAAGAGGGACAGUCGGAGGCAUUCGUAUUUCAUUGUCAGAGGUGAAAUUCUUGGAUUUAUGAAAGACGAACUACUGCGAAAGCAUUUGCCAAGGAUGUUUUCAUUAA